UCAACAUUACAUACUUGCUCUAUCUAGGCGUUUUGUUUGACAAAGAAAAAUGUCUACCCGAAAGCUUGCUUGCACUUACGCUCCUAGUGGUGGUGGUGGCGGCGGCGGCGGCGGCGGUGGGGGUGGGGGCGGCGGCUGCGGAGGCGGUGGAGGCGGCGGAGGCGGACGCUAAAAUUUGAUGUGCAUGCUACCUUUUAAAUUUGUGUUGUUUAGACUUUAUGUGUUGAAGAUUGUGUGUUGUGUUUUAUCGUUUUCUGCUGAACCUUGAGAAACAAUGGGUGCUUGUUUUAUAUGUGAUUGUGAUUGUGUGUUUAGUGCACUAUAAGCUAUAACAUUGUUGUGGUUGUCUUUGUUGAUUGAAAUUUGAUGUACUAG
rnacentral:lncRNA from 1 species